GACGAACCGAGCGAACGUUGUUCGGAAUUACUGGGCGUAAAGCGCACGUAGGCGGCUUUGCAAGUUAGAGGUGAAAGCCCGGGGCUCAACCCCGGAAUUGCCUUUAAAACUGCAUCGCUAGAAUUGUGGAGAGGUAAGUGGAAUUCCGAGUGUAGAGGUGAAAUUCGUAGAUAUUCGGAAGAACACCAGUGGCGAAGGCGACUUACUGGACACAUAUUGACGCUGAGGUGCGAAAGCGUGGGGAGCAAACAGG
rnacentral:rRNA from 1 species